GUGGCGAGUGGCGAACGGGUGAGUAAUGUAUCGGAACGUGCCUAGUAGCGGGGGAUAACUACGCGAAAGCGUAGCUAAUACCGCAUACGCCCUACGGGGGAAAGCAGGGGAUCGCAAGACCUUGCACUAUUAGAGCGGCCGAUGUCGGAUUAGCUAGUUGGUGGGGUAAUGGCUCACCAAGGCGACGAUCCGUAGCUGGUUUGAGAGGACGACCAGCCACACUGGGACUGAGACACGGCCCAGACUCCUACGGGAGGCAGCAGUGGGGAAUUUUGGACAAUGGGGGAAACCCUGAUCCAGCCAUCCCGCGUGUGCGAUGAAGGCCUUCGGGUUGUAAAGCACUUUUGGCAGGAAAGAAACGUCAUGGGUUAAUACCCCGUGAAACUGACGGUACCUGCAGAAUAAGCACCGGCUAACUACGUGCCAGCAGCCGCGGUAAUACGUAGGGUGCAAGCGUUAAUCGGAAUUACUGGGCGUAAAGCGUGCGCAGGCGGUUCGGAAAGAAAGAUGUGAAAUCCCAGAGCUUAACUUUGGAACUGCAUUUUUAACUACCGGGCUAGAGUGUGUCAGAGGGAGGUGGAAUUCCGCGUGUAGCAGUGAAAUGCGUAGAUAUGCGGAGGAACACCGAUGGCGAAGGCAGACUCCUGGGACUACACUGACGCUCAUGCACGAAAGCGUGAGGAGCAAACAGGAUUAAAUACCCUGGUAGUCCACGCCCUAAACGAUGUCAACUAGCUGUUGG
rnacentral:rRNA from 1 species